CCUCUCCUCUCCACUCACUCAACCUCUCUCGCCCCUCUCCCGGUCUCCCCUCCCCCGCCGCAUCCGCUGCACGUGACCACAAGCUCCUGCCGCAACCGCGCGACUCUGCCCGCCGACCACCGCAUCCAUCGCAUGCAUCGGCGGUUGCCGCACGACGAAGGUCACGGCUGGUCCCGCGAUGGCCUCGGCUAGAGGAGGACGAUAGGUCCAUAGCGACGGACGCUCAAGUAAGAGGAGCGGCCCAAUGGCGGCGGCCUCGAGCACGGGGAUAAGUGCAGGCUGGGGAUGCAGGAGAGGUGCAGCGCGGGGUUUGGAGCUCCCACGAGCGGGGUGCGGCGCAUCCGACGGCGACAGACACAGGGACGCGUUGAUCCGGGUGUGGGUGCUCAAUUCGGUCCCGUUUUGGCCGGAUCCGCGGCGGUGCUCAUCUCCGGCGAGGUGGCCUGUGACUCGCGGGACGACGACAGCGCAAGACCACAGGAGGGGCUCAUCUCAUGGGACAGGGGCGCGAGGUCUUGUUGGCUUCGGUUGCCGGUGGCUUGACGCAGGGGUGGCCGGGGUCCGGCGCCAUGGAGGCUCUUCGAGGACGAGGAAGCAGACAGCGACGACAACUUUGAGGCCAGCGGGGGCGCCGUCUCCGCGUUCGAUGGUCGGGGUCCAACGCGGCCGCCGUUGGCUCCAUCCCCUACAGUUAUCAUGCGGAUAAGAGAACCAAAAACUACCACAUUGAUAUCUGCUUCAGGAAAAAUGGUUUGCACUGGAGCAAAAAGUGAACAACAAUGUAAACUCGCAGCUAGAAAGGUCAAAUAUUUGACGAUGUUUUCUUCUCCCAACCUGGCAAGGAGUAAGAAGUCAGUUGGAGUGAGAAGUGAGACAAGUACCAUGAGCUCAAGUGAUCCAUUCACCAAGCUGGUAAACGCAUAAACUUCAAAAAAAUCAUCUCAAUAAGUUUUGUCAGAGAUAUGUUUUGCUAGGCUGGAAGCUUGCGAGAUCUUCAGAUUAUCCUAAUUGCUUCUACAUAGAAGUUUUGGUUGGCUGAUAGCUUGCAAGAUCUUCAUAUUCUACAUAGAAGGUGCAGUGUGAUGUGAUGCAUAUGGAACUGGUAUUACUUUGCAGUAUGGAACUGGCGGUGGGUGUAUGAAAUGUGAUGGUUGUAAUAUUAUACCUAAUUUCUUAUCAGUUCAUGAUAUGGCUGUUUGAAAUGUGAUACCUGGACGUGAGUGUCUCUGGCGCGGGAUCCUGGACGCCUCCGGCGGCGGCUGGUGAAAGGGAUAGCCGGAUCCUGGACGUCUUCGGCGACGGGUCCUGAAAGGGAUCGGCGCCAGAUCCUGGAAGCGUUCGGCGGAGGGUCCUCAACUGGACAUGCAUCGGAUCA